AUUGAACGCUGGCGGCAGGCCUAACACAUGCAAGUCGAGCGAGCGGCGGACGGGUGAGUAAUGCCUGGGAAUUUCCCAGUCGAGGGUGAUUACAGUUGGAAACGACUGCUAAUACCGCAUACGAUUGGAUUGCCCAGGUGGGAUUGGCUAGUUGGUGAGGUAAUGGCUCACAAAGGCGACGAUCCCUAGCUGGUCUGAGAGGAUGAUGAGCCAAACGGGAACUGAGACACGGUCGAGACUCCUACGGGAGGCAGCAGGGGGGAAUAUGGCACAAGGGGGGAAACCCGGAUGAAGACAGGCGGGGUGUGUGAAGAAGGCCUUCGGGUGGUAAAGCACUUUGAGCGAGGAGGCGGUACACGAAGAAAAAGCAACGGCUAACUCCGGGCCAGCAGCCGCGGUAAUAC
rnacentral:rRNA from 1 species